GACGAACGCUGGCGGCGUGCUUAACACAUGCAAGUCGAACGGAAAGGCCCUGCUUUUGUGGGGUGCUCGAGUGGCGAACGGGUGAGUAACACGUGAGUAACCUGCCCUUGACUUUGGGAUAACUUCAGGAAACUGGGGCUAAUACCGGAUAGGAGCUCCUGCUGCAUGGUGGGGGUUGGAAAGUUUCGGCGGUUGGGGAUGGACUCGCGGCUUAUCAGCUUGUCGGUGGGGUAGUGGCUUACCAAGGCUUUGAAGGGUAGCCGGCAUGAGAGGGUGAACGGGCACAUUGGGACUGCGAUACGGAGCAGACUCCUACGGGAGGCAGCAGUGGGGAAUAUUGCACAAUGGGCGGAAGCCUGAUGCAGCAACGCCGCGUGCGGGAUGACGGCCUUCGGGUUGUAAACAGCUUUCGCCUGUGACGAAGCGUGAGUGACGGUAAUGGGUAAAGAAGCACCGGCUAACUACGUG
rnacentral:rRNA from 1 species